ACUGUGGUGGUUCAGCGGUAGAAUUCUCACCUUCCACGGAGGAGACCUGGGAUCAAUUCCCGGCCAAGGUA
rnacentral:tRNA from 1 species